rnacentral:rRNA from 1 species
UACGAAGGGGGCUAGCGUUGUUCGGAAUUACUGGGCGUAAAGGGCGCGUAGGCGGGUAUUUAAGUCAGGGGUGAAAUCCCAGAGCUCAACUCUGGAACUGCCUUUGAUACUGGGGAUCUUGAGUAUGGAAGAGGUAAGUGGAAUUCCGAGUGUAGAGGUGAAAUUCGUAGAUAUUCGGAGGAACACCAGUGGCGAAGGCGGCUUACUGGCCCAAUACUGACGCUGAGGCGCGAAAGCGUGGGGAGCAAACAGG